AUUUGAGUAGUUUAAAUAAAUAAAAUGUUGGUUUGUGAUACCAUAGAUGUAAGGAGAUAUACCUCGGAUC
rnacentral:tRNA from 1 species